rnacentral:lncRNA from 1 species
CUCCCACGCCCCAGCGGCCUCAUUUCCACGGAAGAAGCACAAUGCACUCUGAGCUCUAAAUAAAACCCUUUCACAGUUGCCCUGAAGUUAUUUUCUAGGCUUCCAUCCCUCCCCCUCUGCCCCCUCUCGGGUAUGUGGUGCUCUCCCGGCGGCUGACCUUCGCACCCAGCACUCAGGACCCGGUUGUUGUCCUUUGGAGGGGCCGCGGCAGACGGGGGCGGGCGGUUGGCAAACAGGACAUUGGCCUCCAGCACUUGGCGAUAAACGCGGCGGCACUGAUGGUGUCUUAGGGCAGUGCUCGGCACGGCGCUGGCACUGCUUUGUCCCGCUCCCGUCGACCGUACCCAGAGCUCUGCUCCCCCCGAGCCUGCCCACGGCCGGGCACUGCGCGGGGCCACGUGUGUAGGGCGAGGUGUGAGCCCGGCUGCCGGACAUGGGCAGCAGUGCGCCUCGAGCAGCGCGUGCCGCUGGGAGUGAGCGUGCGGGUUGGAGCUCCGUGAGUCACCGGUGGGCGCGUUGGGCAAUCUUCUGUUUCCCAAUCUGUUUCCCUUCGCAGGAAUCCAGCCCUCGCUCUGCCUUCAGCACGGCCAAGCCCAGCCCCGCCGCCGCUCUGUGCACGCACGCUUCUCCCUGCCUGCAGACACGUUACGGCAGUGCCCCGGGCACACAGUCCUCCCCCGGCAGCACAGACAUCCGCGGCCGUGUGAGCCGUGCUGAGGUCUCCUGCUUUCCGAGGGGCACCGACUCACGGUGCCGACGGGCAGGACUCGAUGGAGAGCUGGCAGCUGGUUCAGGCGUGCUGUGACAGCCUCUCAGCAAUCAGACAGCACCACUCGCAGCUCGGUUUGAGAUGGGAACAGGAAGAAAUGUGUCAACACUUUCAUGUCUCUGCAUGUCGGAGCAGCGUGCCUGGCCAGGGCUGUGUGCUGCGGGCACACGUGUCACGGGCAGCACCAGGGCUGUGUGUGGGGCCGCGCUCUGCUGCGCAGGGCUAUGAGCCCGAGCCCCACAGCACUGCAGGGGCCCCUCGGCACCGCUGUGUGCAGACACUGCCGCAUCCCAGCAGGGCAGGCCAUGAUCUGACCCCCUGUGCAGGCUCUGUGAACAUGGCAGUGUGCCCCGAGGUCCCCACACACCGUGUGGCUGUGAUUAAAAACAGGCUGUGUGCAAACCAUGUGGGGCUUUGUGUUAAUUAAGUGUUGCCUCGUAAGGUGCGUGCUGGGAUACAGAGGUGCAGGAGUGGGGCUGAUGGCAAAAUGAGCUGCUGAUCAAAGAGCUGCUCAGUGCUGGGGGGCCGGGUUGGGGAGGGCCUCGCUGGGGUCCAGGUCCCCACUGCAGCCCCACAGUCAAAGCACGGAGCUACAGCCCCACACCGAGCAGCCCUGCUCUGUUCCUCAGCCCCGUCCCUGCAGCACCGCCGCUGCUAACACAGCUCUCUUGUUAAGUCGGGACAGUUCUGGAGAUGAGGCACACGAGGCAGUACUCAGCUCUGGGUGCUGGGGCUGCCAGGCGCUGCUGGCUUUGCCCACAGCCCCGGUUCGUGUCCGUGAUGGGAUAUCCAUACUUUCUUCCCUAUGCACGGGAGCGUUUUACAGAGAAAUGCUGUCAGCAUUCUGAGGGGCUGCUGCAUUCCAGCAUCUCAGUUUUAACACCACUCAGUGUGAAAACAUGAACAUUUUGACUCCAACUACGGAAUGACAAAUGUGAGCGCCAGACAUCUGCCACUCAUUUCAGAAUGUCACCAUUCCCCACAGCGCAGCAGUGCUGGCACGGGGCUGCGUGGGGCCCCAGGGCGGUGCUGCUCCUUUGCCCCAUCCCUGCCCGCAGUGGGGAAUCCCAGCAGGAAAUGGCCAUUCACACUGCAGUGUGUGUGCCCGGGUCAGCAGCUCGGCUCACCCAGCAGCCACAGUGCUGUUUGCAGAGCUCUUCGUGCACAACAGCUGCGUCUGCUGAGCAGCAAACUGCGUGGGAAAGAACUUCGAUAAAUAAAAAGUUAUUAAAUGUAAACAAAGGCUGUGCAGGAACGGCUGAAGGUUCAAAAGUUGUGACCGUCAUGGACAACUUUUGUCAUCCCUUGGGAAACAACUGGGACUUCUCAAGAGUAAGAAUUGCUUUCCUUCCCUGCAGGCCCACCUGCGCUCACUUCCCUCUGGCUGCAGCCACGUGCAGACAGAGCUGUGCACACCUGGGAGCUGCACAGGGGCACGGGGCUGCCUGGAAGGACCUCCUCCUGCAGCACUCCUCCAUGUGGGAGAGGAGGAGAUGAGCAGCACUGCAGUGGUGUGGCAGCACCCAGCACGGCGUGCACUGCUGUCUGCUCUGCUCAUUGGAGUUGGUUCCUGCCGGCUGUGGUCAGGAUGGGGCCCACAUUGCCCUGCACUGCUGCAGGAAGGAGCUGGCAGCAGAGGCCCCAGCAUGGUUUGCAGGGAGGAAACCAAAGCAUGUGGCUGCGCAGCUCGCAGCACAGCACAGGGCAACAUGCUUGAGCAGCAGGCUAAUAGCCACGGCCAGCAGCGUGCCCUCAGUGCAUGGAGGGCUGUCGCAUCCCUUCCCCUGCGUGACACUCCGCAUUUGCUCUGCAGUGAAGCAUGGGUUAGAAGGCUGAGCCACCCAAUGCAGGUCACUGCAGCAGUGCCGUGCGCCACAGGGAAUGCCACGAGUGCUGCCCCGUCACUGCGCUCCGCAUCCUGCGCUGCUCUGCAAAAACGAGAGCCCCAGCACAGCCCCGGACCCACACAGCCCACUGCUCACCCCAAGGCUGUGUGUUCCCCAGUGGGACCGUGGCGUGGAAGAGCCCAUCUUU